GGCUUCGCCCGCGAUUCACGCGCAUAGUCUGGAGGGGGCUUUAUGCACAAAAAACUAUCGUGGUAGUGGCACUCGUAUCUAUCGUAUCGUAUCUCGUAUUUAGUUGUUUGAUUUAUUGUUGAGGAUGAAACGGGAAGAAUGGAAAUAUAAAUUAAUAAUAACAUUAAUAACUCAAAUAGGUAUUUUAAUUUUAAUGUCAUUUUUAUAUUACAAAUUUGCCACAGAAAAUAUCUUGCGAUGAUUCCGAGAUUGGCGAAUUACACGAUUAUUAUAUUUUUAAGUGUAAUAAAUUCGCAUUCUCAUGUACAAUGUAAUAAAUUCGCAUACGCAUUCUCUCUAAAACCACUGGUAGCUUAAAAAACGACAAUUCACCGUUUAAUGUUGAAUUAAAACAACCGUCCACUGUACAGUUAUAAUAACUUUUUGUUUUGUUUCUCCAUUAUUGCACAAAAAAGUUCACAGACGCGUGUCUCAAGCGGAUGGCACUCGCGCUCGCACUGGUCCCAACUGGUCCGAGAUAUCGUGUCCGUGAGCAGUGUCUAUGUGUGCGUUGCUCGAGCGCGCUUUGUAUGUAGGUUGAUUUCUGUACCUAUCUGUUUUGUGUCUAUAUCGACAAGGGUUUUUGGAAAAAAAUGUAUAAUUGUAUUAUGCUUAAGGCCUAUAAUUUUCAUAAAAGAUCUCUCAGUAAACUUAAAUGAAAUUUCAUUAAAAUUAUAAGGGAUCUACUUAUCUUACGAAUAAGGUAAAUAGCUAGGAAAAUCAAAAAUUUAGAGUAAAAGAGUAUUGGUUUGAUCCCAGGGGCUUUGCGUAUGUUAUAAUUCAAUCCAGACGGAAUUUAAUGAAAUUAGUUGGAAGUAAAUCACAAUGAGCAAAUAUUCCCAUAAAAAAUGUUUAUAUUAUUUUAUUGAUUUAUGUAUCACAAACGAAGUGAAGAUAAAAAGUCAGAGGCCAAAAUGGAAAGAUUUAAUCCUAAGAGAUCGACAGACCUUUCAAAUGAAAUGCAUAGGUACCAGACAAACUGAUCUUUAUAGAUUAUAGAAGAUAAUCGGUUUACUCCUACAGGCCUAGGGGAUUUAUGAAUCUCACAACUAUAAUAAAAAAUUUAAAAAUGGAAGCAAUAAAAAUCGGAAACAUUGGUUUUAUUAAGAAAAUUAUGAGAUACACCUAUAAAAAGUCAGAGAAUAGAUAAGAAUUGAAAUAAUAAAUCCUAAGAUAGGUAAUAAAGUUGAAAUAAAGGGAUUGAAGUAUCAUGCUAUCAUGUGGACAGAAAAACGGAGAAAACAUAAUUAAUUACAAAAGUCAAAUGAAAAUUGGUUUGAUUCUAAACGGUCACCGUUGCUUACAAUUCAAAUAAAUACGUAGGAAAAUUGGAGCUUAUAGUGUGUAUAGGUACCUAAUAAAUAUUGGGUUCAUCCCAACUAUCCCAAGGGACAACGAUUUUUACAAAAGAUAUGAAAAGGAAAGAAAACUAUGUCUCCUAAGUAUAAAACAAUUCAUUUUAUCCUAAAGGAUAUCGUACAAAAAAAACAAGAUAAGGAAAAUUGCGAUGGAGUUGGUGUGAAACGAAAAUUGAUUAUAGUAUUUUGAUUAGAUACCUCACGAAAGAAGAAAUGGAUACGAAAAUAAAAAUGCAGCGAGUUCAAUUGUUCAAAAUUAUCUCAAUUUAUCUCCGUCUCAUACAAAUUAAAGAACUAGGAAACAAAAUCAAAGUUCAGUGAAUGCGGAAUAAAAGUUGUUAUUGCGGAAUGUAAGUUGACAUUAAGGGAGCUGAUAUUUUGUAAAUUAAGUUUAAGUAUAGUACUAUAAAGGAAUUUAAGGAUCAAAGGUGUGAAAUAUUUAUUUUAAGGUACUAAUGACCUCACAAAUUAAAUAAGUGGAAGACCUAUUUAAAGUCCAAUGCGUGUUUAAUGAAGGAAAAAUAUGUGGUAGAAGGAAAAAGGAAACUAUGAGAAGACAAAUAUACAUUAGUUUCAUCCGCCCAUGUAUCAUUAAAAUGAAAUACAUACAUUUAAAUAGGUUAUCCUAAAGGAUCAAGACACUUUCAAAAUGGAAUAAACGGAAGGGAAAUAUUAAAAUCGCUAGGGGUAAAAUGGAAAUCAUUUUUAGCCGAAGGCAUUUACUAGUGGUAAGAAGAAAAAUACAAGUUAUGAAACAACAAAUGAACAUUGGUUUUUACACUUUUUAUCUUAAGGGUUCGUUAAAUAUAGUAGGUGUUCAUGAAAAGACAUUUAGGUGUGGUACCAAGGAGAAAACAAAACAAAUUAUAGGAAAACAAAUAAUUAACUUUUGUAUUCUAAAGGAACUAUAUAUCAUACAAAUAAAAUAACUAGGAACGAAUAUGAAUAACACAGUAGUGUAAAAUAUAUGUAUAUCUUAUCUUUAAGAAUAACGUAGAUUCCAACAGGUGUGUUAGAGGGAAAUAUAAGAAAAAUGAUCAUUCGUAUUUAUCCUAAGGUCUAAACGUCAUAAAAAUGAAAUAAAUAGUAAACAAAGUCGAAAUUUAUAGUGUGAAAUUUACAUUGGUUUAAUGCUAAAGGGUAAAGGCAUUUUAUAACUGAAAUAAUUAGAAGGAAAAUGUUAUUAUUAAUCGGUAGUGAUUUUUGGUGUGGUAGGACGAAACAUAAAUUAUGGAAAGAUGAAUAAACAUUAUUUAAUCCUAAGGGAUCUAUAUGACGUCGUAAAAAUUUAAAAAUUGGCAAGAAGAAUUAAAAUUUCGAAUAAUAUAUUAUUGGUUUUAUACUAAAUUAUCAAGGUAACUAACGAAAUGGAAAGAAAAAGUUAAGUCCAAUUUAUGGAAAAUGGACAACGUAUUUAUCCGAAUAGAUUAAGGGUGCCAUAGGAGGGAAAAUACAAAUUAUAAGAAGACGAAUUGGUUUUUAUCCUAAGAAUCUAGAUAUCAUAAAAAUUAAAAAAAAGACACAUGCAAAUUUGAAUAGUGUGAAAUUUAAAUAGGCGUUAUUCUGAAGGAUCAAGGCAUUUCAUUUUUUUUUUUUACUUUUUAACCGAAAGGAUUUAGGUGAGGUAGGAGGAAAAAUUUAAAAUUGAAUUGAAUUGGUUUUAUAUUAAAGGAUCGAGGCAUUUGAUAAAUUAUAUAAAUGGAAAGGAAAUCUAAAAUCCAAUGGGCGUUAAAUUCAUAUUUUAUUAGUAUUUAAGUCUAAUGAUAAUUGAAAAAAUACAACUCAUAGGAAGUUUAAAUGGAAAUUGGUUUCCUUAUGUAACAUAAAAAUGAAAACAUGAAAUAAGUAGAAAGGAAAAUUAAAAUUUACUCACGGUGUGUAAUUAAAAUUAGUUACCUAUAAAAUAUUUAAGAAUUCAUGCAUUAUAAAUUGUAGGAAAAUGUUAAGUACACUCGGUGGAGAAGAAAAAAUGUUUAUAUCUGAAACGAUUGAGGUGUCGUAGGAGAAAUAAUACAAAUAAUAAGUAGAAUUAAGAACAUUAUUUUUCAUCGUAACAUAUGUAUUAUAGUAAUGAAAUAAAUAGGAAGAAAGAUCAAAAUUUAUUCUGUGAAUUUUUAAUUGGUUUAUUGGUAGUGUUAUUAUAGAUACGAAAGAAAAUACUCUUUUCAUAGUAAGUAGGUAUCUAAAUGUUGUUACUAUUUGAUAAUACAUACCACAAAAGGUUUAAAUAAAAAGUUGGCACUGAAAAAUCAUCAAAAAUUAAAUAUUU